ensembl:lncRNA
CUGGAGAGGAUCAAACAGGAUCGGACAUAAUCAGGGAGGACCAGACAGGAUCAGACAGGACCAGACAGGACCAGCGAAGAUCAGACAGGACCAGGGAGGAUCAGACAGGACCAGGGAGGAUCAGACAGGAUCAGACAGGGUCAGACAUGACCAGAAAGGGUCAGACAUGACCAGAGAGGAUCAGGGAGGACUAGGGAAUAUCAGACAGGACCGGACAGGACCAGAGAGGAUCAGACAGGACCAGGGAGGAUCAGACAGGACCGGACAGGAUCAGGGAGGACUAGGGAAUAUCAGACAGGACCGGACAGGACCAGCGAGGAUCAGACAGGACCAGGGAGGAUCAGACAGGAUCAGACAGGGUCAGACAGGACCAGGGAGGAUCAGACAGGACCGGACAGGAUCAGGGAGGACUAGGGAAUAUCAGACAGGACCGGACAGGACCAGCGAGGAUCAGACAGGACCAGGGAGGAUCAGACAGGAUCAGACAGGGUCAGACAUGACCAGAGAGGAUCAGACAAGACCAGACAAGACAAAAUAAGGCUCUUGGAUGAAGGAAAACAGUAGGAACUGUUUUUUGUCCUUGGGGAUAGAAGAAACACAGGGGUCGUCAUCAUCAAAGUACGUAUGCAGAGUGAUACGGAUGCAGGAAGGGUAAUAUGGAGGAUGACAGAGAAUGCUCAGAACUUCUUUCCAGUAAUUCUCUCUAAUGGGACAAAACCAAUACCUCAUGGAGAUGAGUGUUGGGGAGGUCCGUUUGGCAGAAUUGACACAGAGGCUGCUGACGCACUUAAUCACACCUUAUGGGAAUCUAGGGGCUGCUCCAGAGGCCCUGAUGGCCUGUGGAGGCAAUCACUCUCUGGCAAACCAGUUCUGCAUCUGCCUGUUGUCUCCUCUGUGUGUCUCCUGGCCCACAAGGUGGGUGGCACGCCAAUGGGGGAGAUGGUAAGACUAAUAUCUGACACUUGGUUUUGUCCAAAUCUGAUUGAAAUUUGCAAAACUAACAUGUAUAAAUGUACUACAUGCAUGCAAUACCCCCCCUAAAAUCAGGGAACUUUCCAGCGCCGGCCAGCCUGAUCAUCCAUUUAGCUAUGGACUUCAUAGACAUGGUUGAAUGAAAGGAAAGAAUGAGAUACUGCCUUGUAAUAACUGACCGAUUUACCAGGUGGGUCGAAGCAUUUCCAACCGUGCACUGUGAAGCUAAAAAUGGUAGCAAAAGGGAAAUCAUCCCUAGAUUCGGCACACCGGAAGUUCUCUCCGCAGACAAUGGCCCCCAUUUCUCAGGAGAUGUG